GGCAAAGAUUGUCUGGAUAUGUGGAAUGUUCAUAUUCCUCAGCAUUCCUUAAAGACAACUCACCCUUCUAUGAAAUCAGCAUAACCUGAUGUUUAUUUCUAGUAGGUUGCUUUUUCCAGCUUUUGAAGUGCUUCCAGAUUGCACUUAAAGCUCAGCCCAGAUCUGUGAGAGAGAGGAGCAUAACAUUACCUGCUCUGCUGAAGUUGGAGCUGAGUGGUGCUGAGUGUUAAAGGUUUACACUGGACAUCUGCACAGGGGCUCUUACUUCUUCACUCAGCUCUGCUGCUGGUCCAGCUGAAUGCUCCUGGAUUUUUGCAUUACCUCUUUGACUCAUGAAGAAUAAAGUGGUCAGGAGAAGGUGGAAGAGGAAAGAGUAUGAGAGGAGGAAAAAGGAGAAAAUGGGAAAGGGUGAAAGAGGGAAGCAGAAGAAAAGAGAAAGGAAGAAAAUCAGAAGUGAAAGCAAGGAAUGAACACAAAGAUGAAAGGAUGUGAAUGCCUUGCCACUAAGGAAAGCAGGGAAACAGGUGGUAGCAUUAGGCAUGCCAUCAGUGACUAAGUCCAAGCCAAGCAAAAUCUGACAAGAGUGACACUGUUGCUCUCCACAGCUUAGAUGCCUUGUUUGGGACCUGAAUCAGUGAAGUCCAUGCAUCACUAGUGUAUUUUCCAGCCAUGGAGUGUAACACCUGGACAGAAAACCCCUCCUUCUACUGCUCACCCUCUGCUUGCCCUGAAGAUCCAGUCCUUCCCUGGGGAUGGAUGGGCUGAGAGGAGGCUGCUCUACUGGGGAGAAGUUGGAUCUGAUGCCAAAAUGUCUUCAGUGCUGGUGGAAAUGGCACCUGGAGAAUCCAACAGGGGAUUAGCAGUGAAGAUCUACCACAUCCAGACUCAUGCUGAAAAACUAAUGCAUUUGUGAACUCUGUUGCAUGGCUGGUUCAGCUGGGAAUGUGUUAAUGUCGUGGGAGAAGGGGCAUCUGAAACCAAAUAGCUAUCAGAAGUUUCUUUGGAUUGUAGUAUUUUUGGUCUGAAAAGGUUGAUUUAUUAAGUGUGGUUGCAGGAGUGGAGUGUUGGGGGACAAUAUUGAUGGGUCUUUGUUGUUGCUUUGUUUUUCACAAAAGAUGUCUGCCAUUCCUGGGUUUACCCUGUAUUGCCAGGGACAUUUUAUUUUUUUAAUUUUUUUUUUUUUUUUUUUUUUUUUUACUCUCCUGUUCUCCACCAAUUCUGGCAGACUACAGUACCCCUGAACUCUAUCACUGACUUUGCACAUGUUCUUGUUGGGAGGUUUAUGGAUGGUUAAUUAUCUGAAUUAAGUUACUGCCUGUGACUGUAAUCCAAGAGACUUCUGUUCCAUGGGCAUAGCCAGAAUCACACUGUAAACUUUGCAGCUUUACACUAUUACUUGAACUCUGUUGUUGUCAUCUUUGUUGUAUGUCUGGAUUUGUCUUCUUAAGCUUGAGAGUGGGAGAGGCUUUCAGAUUUCCUUCAGUCAUCACGAAGCAGCACUACUCAUGUUCAACUGAUGAUGUUACCAGUGGAAAUCUGCACUAAAAGAAAAUCUAUAACUAAGCUGUUACUUUGGUUAAAAUAUCUUUCUUGGUUAAAAAAAAGAAAAAUAAACAAACAAACAAAAAAAACACCCCAGGAUCCCCCUGUGUCAGGAGAGAAGGAGGAAACUAAGACUGUCACACACUAGUAGUAUAUAACAUCCAGAAAUAACAUUAAUUGAGUGCUUCCACUAUCCCAUCUUUUUCUAAUUUUGUGAAUAUCACAUGUAGAACAGCAUCACGUGGUUGUUAAUUAUGACAACCUAAGUGCAAUUUUGUAGUAAGGCUAGCAGAUGUUUGCAGUGCUAAAUAUUCAGAUCAAACCCAGUUCUUUUUACCCAGCACACAUCCAGUCAAGAUCACGUAGAGGGUCUGAAUUUUUUUUUAAUUUGUUGUUCUCUGUAAAUUCCCUCUAGCUCACCUUUUAAUCUCUCUAUUUGUGAUGUGAUCUGUAAGAUCAGGUUGCAGAAAAUUACAAUAUUCCAUUUGCUCGUAAUUAGGCUCUCAUUUUCUCUCCAUCAGGCAAAGAGAAAUUUUGCCACUAAUUGUGGUAGGACCAGCCCCUCUGUUUUGCUUUCAUAAGGAUUUUAAAGGCCAUGUGAACAUACGAAAAGUUUGGGUUGACCAAAAUGUCUGUGAUGAACUGAAAGACAGUAAUUUACACUCAUGUGAGAAGAGCUCUGUUAAGAGCCAUCAAUCCCACUUGUGACAGCGUAUUGACACUUGCUGGUCUUUAGGAUUCAUUUCUUAAAAUGCUAAUGCAGACAAGUUCCUGUCUGUUGUGGGAAAAUAUGGGGGAACUUUGUUAGAUGAGACACUCAAGUGCAAAUAAAUGUUUCCUGUAAGAAA